UUAUCAUGCUGCAUAUUCAACAUGCUGUUUUAAAAAUUUUUAAUGGAACGUACUCAAAUGCUGCAGCAGAGAUGAUCGCAAAUAAUUUCCCCAAGCACAUUUAUUCACACUCAAAGGGAAAGAGAGGAAGACGUUGUGGAACACAUAAUGAGACAUACACAAUUCAGCAGCACCUGCUGAGCAAUGCAACGUAUGGAGAGGGAACCCGAUGCAGAAGCCAGCGAACCAGAUAGCACAUGAAUAAAGCAGCAGGGAGAUGGAUGGAAAGGGGUCUGGAGUCCUCCCUCUGCGCUCAUUUCCUUCAGAGCAGGUCGAGAGGCAUCCUUGGCUUUAAUCAGGCUCACCUAAGCAUGCCUCAGCACUGCUGCGCCAUACUGAUGGAUAGCCUGGAGCAACACCUGGAAAAGAAAGGAAAAAACACUCUCUUCCUUGAAGGUACAGAAUCAUAGACAGCUCAGGAAUGUCUGCAACAUGUUUUUUUUUUUUUUGUUGUUGUAAUUGUUAUGUUCUUUUGUUGUGCUUUAUUUAUCUUUGAGAAUCCUAGUCAUCUUCAGCGUCUCAGCAUUUUGGAUUUAAGCAGAAUUGGUACUCUCAAGACAUUUCUGGCAUUUUUUUGGGAGACACAUCAUACAUAACUAAUGUGUGUGUUAUUCCUUUAUGCCUCUGGAAGGACAUCAUGUAGAGCUGAUUUAAAAAUGUCUUCUAACUCAGCACUGUACAAUACAUUGUGCUGAGAAGUGCCACGGGGCCAGUUUAAUCUGUUCACACAGUCUUUUUCAUGCUUCAUGUCUUCAAGGGCUAUUGCCUUGGAGAGCUGCUUUUGUAAUUGUAAUAAAUAAUGUAUGAUUAAUAUGCC